rnacentral:sRNA from 1 species
AGCUCGACGGGGUCGAUCGCACGGGUCACCAGCAGGUAGUCGCGCAGCGCGAUGCCGUGGCGGUUCUC